rnacentral:tRNA from 1 species
GGGCCUAUAGCUCAAUGGUCAGAGCAGGGGACUCAUAAUCCCUUGGUUUCAGGUUCGAGUCCUGAUGGGCCCA